rnacentral:rRNA from 1 species
CACCUGUUCCCAUUCCGAACACAGAAGUUAAGCCCACCAGCGCCGAUGGUACUGCGAAAGCGGGAGAGUAGGUCGCCGCCAGUC